rnacentral:rRNA from 2 species
UGACCUCGGAUCAGGUAGGACUACCCGCUGAACUUAAGCAUAUCAAUAAGCGGAGGAAAAGAAACCAACAGGGAUUGCCCCAGUAACGGCGAGUGAAGCGGCAACAGCUCAAAUUUGAAAUCUGGCCCUCGGGUCCGAGUUGUAAUUUGGAGAGGAUGCUUCUGGCAAGGCGCCGUCCGAGUUCCUUGGAACAGGACGCCGUAGAGGGUGAGAGCCCCGUACGGGCGGCCGCCGAGCCUCUGUGAAGCUCCUUCGACGAGUCGAGUAGUUUGGGAAUGCUGCUCAAAAUGGGAGGUAAAUUUCUUCUAAAGCUAAAUACCGGCCAGAGACCGAUAGCGCACAAGUAGAGUGAUCGAAAGAUGAAAAGCACUUUGAAAAGAGGGUUAAAAAGUACGUGAAAUUGUUGAAAGGGAAGCGCCUGUGACCAGACUUGCGGCCCGCGGAUCAUCCGGUGUUCUUCACCGGUGCGCUCCGCGGGCUGCAGGCCAGCAUCGGUUUUCCUGGGGGGACAAAGGUCGCGGGAACGUAGCUCUUUCGGGAGUGU